rnacentral:rRNA from 1 species
GGGUGAGUAACGCGUGAGAAACCUGCCUUUUACAAAGGGAUAGCCUCGGGAAACUGGGAUUAAUACCUUAUGACACUUAAAUGUCGCAUGAGAUUUAAGUCAAAGCGUAAAGCGGUAAAAGAUGGUCUCGCGUCCCAUUAGUUAGUUGGUGAGGUAAAGGCUCACCAAGACAGCGAUGGGUAGCCGGCCUGAGAGGGUGAACGGCCACACUGGAACUGAGACACGGUCCAGACUCCUACGGGAGGCAGCAGUGGGGAAUAUUGCACAAUGGAGGAAACUCUGAUGCAGCGACGCCGCGUGAACGAUGAAGGCUUUCGGG